GUAGUCCACGCCCUAAACGAUGUCAACUGGUUGUUGGGGAAGGCAACUUCCUUAGUAACGAAGCUAACGCGUGAAGUUGACCGCCUGGGGAGUACGGCCGCAAGGUUAAAACUCAAAGGAAUUGACGGGGACCCGCACAAGCGGUGGAUGAUGUGGAUUAAUUCGAUGCAACGCGAAGAACCUUACCUACCCUUGACAUGUACGGAAGCCCGCUGAGAGGUGGGUGUGCCCGAAAGGGAGCCGUAACACAGGUGCUGCAUGGCUGUCGUCAGCUCGUGUCGUGAGAUGUUGGGUUAAGUCCCGCAACGAGCGCAACCCUUGUCACUAGUUGCUACGGAAACGGGCACUCUAGUGAGACUGCCGGUGACAAACCGGA
rnacentral:rRNA from 1 species